GACGUAGGGCGCGAGCGUUGUCCGGAUUGAUUGGGCGUAAAGAGCUCGUAGGCGGUUUGUCGCGUCGGCUGUGAAACCUUGGGGCUCAACCCCAAGCCUGCAGUCGAUACGGGCAGACUAGAGUGCGGUAGGGGAGACUGGAAUUCCUGGUGUAGCGGUGAAAUGCGCAGAUAUCAGGAGGAACACCGGUGGCGAAGGCGGGUCUCUGGGCCGUAACUGACGCUGAGGAGCGAAAGCGUGGGGAGCGAACAGG
rnacentral:rRNA from 1 species